CACAAGCGGUGGAGUAUGUGGUUUAAUUCGACGCAACGCGAAGAACCUUACCUGGGCUUGACAUCCCGGGAAUCCCUUGGAAACAAGGGAGUGCCCUUCGGGGAACCUGGAGACAGGUGCUGCAUGGCUGUCGUCAGCUCGUGUCGUGAGAUGUAGGGUUAAGUCCCGCAACGAGCGCAACCCUUGUCUUUAAUUGCCAUCAUUGAGUUGGGCACUUUAAAGAGACUGCCGGUGUUAAACCGGAGGAAGGUGGGGAUGACGCCAAGUCCUCAUGGCCUUUAUGCCCAGGGCUACACACGUGCUACAAUGGGUGGUACAAAGAGCAGCCAGCUCGCGAGAGUGAGCAAAUCUCAAAAAGCCAUCCUCAGUUCGGAUUGAAGUCUGCAACUCGAGGGCAUGAAGGCGGAAUCGCUAGUAAUCGCGGAUCAGCAUGCCGCGGUGAAUACGUUCCCAGGCCUU
rnacentral:rRNA from 1 species